ACAGAGGCAGCCGAAAAUCUGGUUAUAAUAGAGUAGGCA
rnacentral:ncRNA from 1 species